rnacentral:tRNA from 1 species
GACUCACUAGCUCAAUUGGCAGAGCAACUGACUCUUAAUCAGUAGGUUCGGGGUUCGACUCCCCGGUGGGUCACCA